ensembl:lncRNA
GCGCGCCGCCAGCCGGGGGCUCGCGCCAGCCACGAGGGAGCGUCCGCGGCCCGCGCGCCCGCGCGGCGGAGGAGAGGUGAUAAGUGUGAUGCUUCCGUAAUACAUUUGGAUGUUGUCAGCUAAGUUCACUUCUGAACUAAGGGGUUCCUCCAAAUGUUGGCUGAAAUUUGUCCUUGCACAUCCCAAGGCUCGUCUGCAAAGUCUACAAUUCAUAAUGGAGCUACUGUACUGGCUAUUGGAAGGAGGAGAUUCUGAAGAUAAGGAGAUUCAGUGAUCGGUCUUUGAAAUUUCCUGUGAUGUGUUUCAAUCUAGAUGCAAAGGACAUGGAAAAAUCAAAGUGCUUGAGUGGUUUAAAUAUGUUUUGGAUGUUCCUGUUUAUAAACGAUAAUACUUUUCCAAUUAAAAUCCUCAGUUGUCAUGCAGAAGAAAGUUAAGCUCUACUUGAUUGCCAAUUUUACUGAAAAUGCUUAGUAUUUUACAGUAUCACUGAAUAUAUUUUGUUUAGCCAAAGUAUAGGAAAAAUAAAAUAAAUUGUAUAGGUUGACUUUUUUCUAAAAAUGUCUUUUUUCUAAAAAUGUCUUUAUUGGAUUGAAUGUUUAUGCCUGAAAAAAAAAGGUUCAAAAAAUUCCUUUUACCAUCAUAGUCAUUCUUUUGACAAUCAGUUAUUAUUAGACUCGAUUUAAAAUAAUUUUCUAAUAUGACUCUUACAUUUAUGGGAGGAAAAAGACUUGAAAGAUACUCCUGUGUGUAUUUUAAUUCUCUGUAGUAGUCCCUCUGGAAUAGAAUGUCUCUUCCUCAAACAAAUCUAUUGGCUCAUUUCAUAUAUGAGAAAAAGUUGCCCUAACUGGCAGAGUUUCAUCUCUGUAAAGAAGGCUGACAUCCACCUCCUUCACAGAAUCCCUGCAUCUGGGUAAUUGAGUAAUGACAGAUUACCUUGCCAUUGGGAAAUACCUUGUUGUGGCCUUUGUAGCAGCUACAGGAAGAUGGAAGAAUUCUUCUGUACAGACAGGUCUCCAGCCUCUUUGGUGUGGACACUGUGAAGGGGUACAUCUGGUGAGAAGGAGUGCUUAGGGAAGGAACUGGGAAGGUCCACAAAGGCUGAUGAUGACAAAGAAUCCAAGGGCUAUGAUGAAUUCUUAAGCUUAGAUCUCAGAGUCAUAAAGUAAAUUUAUUAGGCUAGAGAGAUUUCCUUUUUUAUUUUUGAUCUAACUUUAUUUUUUCAGAUUUAUAAGUUCACAUGCAGUUAUACAAAAUCAUACAGAAAUCUUUGAACACUACCCAGUUUCUCCUAAUAGUAACUUCUUGCAAUAUACUGUAUAGUACAGCAUCACAACCUGGAUAUUGACAUUGAUGCAGUCAAGAUAGAGAGCAUUUCUAUAACCAGGAGGAUCCCUCAUUACUGCCCUUUUAUAGCCACCCCUACUUCCAGACCAUCUCACUCCUCCCUUAACCCUGGCAACCACUAGCCUGUUCUCCAUUUCUAUAAAUUUGUCUUUAUAGGAAUGUUAUAUAAUUGCAAUUAAAGUGUGUAACCUUUUGGGGGUUGACUCAAACCCAGCAUCAUUUUCU